AUUGAACGCUGGCGGCAGGCCUAACACAUGCAAGUCGAGCGGAUGAAGGGAGCUUGCUCCUGGAUUCAGCGGCGGACGGGUGAGUAAUGCCUAGGAAUCUGCCUGGUAGUGGGGGAUAACGUCCGGAAACGGGCGCUAAUACCGCAUACAUCCUGAGGGAGAAAGUGGGGGAUCUUCGGACCUCACGCUAUCAGAUGAGCCUAGGUCGGAUUAGCUAGUUGGUGGGGUAAAGGCCUACCAAGGCGACGAUCCGUAACUGGUCUGAGAGGAUGAUCAGUCACACUGGAACUGAGACACGGUCCAGACUCCUACGGGAGGCAGCAGUGGGGAAUAUUGGACAAAGGGCGAAAGCCUGAUCCAGCCAUGCCGCGUGUGUGAAGAAGGUCUUCGGAUUGUAAAGCACUUUAAGUUGGGAGGAAGGGCAGUAAGUUAAUACCUUGCUGUUUUGACGUUACCAACAGAAUAAGCACCGGCUAACUUCGUG
rnacentral:rRNA from 1 species